GCCGGGGUGGCCGAGUGGUUCUAGGCGUACAGUCUGGAAAACGGUACGGUCGCAGGUUCGAAUCCUGCCUCGGGCA